GUACUGAUGACGAGUGCGAGAUUGGACGAAACAGUUGUCCAGUAC
rnacentral:hammerhead_ribozyme from 1 species